ensembl:lncRNA
CAGACAAGUCAAGUGAAUUGUCCUGUGUGACGAGUGGAGCAGAGAGCGGAGUGGGUGCCCGGCGCAGACCCAGGCUGCUGAAGAUGAGGAGGGUGAGGUCGUCAUCUUCAUCAGAGGGAGAAGAGGAGCUCCCACACAGCUGGAGUCAUCUGCCUCCCUCCUACAGCCUGGCUCUGGGUCUGGACCAGGACCCUGAGCUCCUCCAGGGACGCCUCAGCACAGAGGAGCAGCUCCAAGCAGAGCCGCUGGAGUCCCCUCUGUCUCUGUGUCGCACCCAGGAACUGACAGCCAGCGAACUGCUCCAGAACAGGACGUUCUACGAUGAAGAGCUGGAGGCCUCAGACCACUUUUUU